rnacentral:misc_RNA from 1 species
UGGAAAAAAAUAAAUCAAAAUGAGUUGAAAGAUUAAGAUAGGGAGUUACAAUCGUCCGAUGAACCUUGUUGAAAAUAAGUCUGCUGCAGCGACGGCGGCGGCAACGACGGCAGUGAAUAAUACGACUGCGCCAAGCAAAUCGAUCCGUAAGAAUGACUUUCCGGCCCUUACAUCUGGCGUAGCAGUGAACGCAACGGAGCCUCGAUGGACACAUCUUUUUCGUAAUAUAGGAUGUUGCGUUCUUUAUCGCGAUCUCUCUGAUCGUGAGAUUAGAGAAAGUCAUGCGCGGUCCUCCGCGAAGAUCGAUUAUCGUGUGGUUUACUCUAGCGUUCUUCUUACUUUUUGUUUGUCGAUUAUUGCUCGAUCGCGGUUAUCGUCUUCAUUUAUUGUCGAUCGAGAACUCAAAGGAACGAUCGUACGCAAUAAAGAAAAGUCGAGUGCAAUCGUUGAGUUAUCGAGGAGAGGAUGUAUUGCCGGGUGGAACGUCCGCGUAUAUCGCUGGUGCUUACAUGGCCGGUCGUCGGUCAUCUGGAAAUGAAAGUUCUUGCAUCUGGUAUUACGGCUUACCGCGUUCCCUCUCAUAUCCUUCCUCGCAGAUAAACUGGACACCGGAGAUCGGAGAGAAAAGCCCAUAUAGAGUACUUCCGUUUGCUAUACGUGGCAGAGACCGAGGAGACCGAGAGGAUGCACCGCCGAUAACUCUAUGCACUCACGCGACGGCCGAUCAAGUUUACGGCAUCGUCGAACUCGCCCGCAGGUGGGAGGGACCAUUGAGCCUGGCCGUUUUCGCGCCCGGCCUCGACGCCGGCCUGGCCGUCGCUCUGCUCGAUCGUGCUUGUCGAUGUGAAACAGCCAUGUCCAAGGUAUCCGUCCAUUUAGUAUUUCCCGCGGGAAGAGUACCCGCGCUUGGUCGAGCUUAUAAAGAAAAAGAUGAUUGUACCGCCUCGGAUCUACAAUGGCGAGGAACGGAGACCGAAAGAUGGAAGAGCGGUAUGACGUAUCCUAUUAACGUAGCCAGGAACGUGGCUAGAACCUCGGCUAGUACUGUGCGCGUCCUCGUAUCCGACAUUGAACUGUUACCCAGCGAGAGAUUAGCCUCUGGAUUUGUAGCUAUGGUCCAUGGUAGGCCGCCUAAACUUGGCGUCGUCUUUGUUCUACCUGUAUUCGAAAUCGAUAAGAAUGAGCAGCCCCCAUCGAAUAAAAGAGAACUCCUGUCUGCAGCUAAAGCUGGCCUGGCUGUUUACUUUCAUAGGUAUAGAUUCCUGUGCCCGCAUUGCCAAAGAUUUCCGGGCUUAACCAGAUGGAUGAUAAGGACAGACCCAGGAAAAGUCAAACCUCUUAUUAUUACUCGCAGAGAAUAUCCGCAUCAUAGAUGGGAGCCUGUCUUCAUAGGGAUGCGAGAAGAUCCCCUUUAUACGGAAAAUAUGUCUUGGGAAGGAAAACAAGAUAAAAUGGCUCAGAUGUUCGAGAUGUGUCUAUUAAAUUAUCGUUUAGUCGUACUCGACGGUGCCUUCUUAGUACAUACACCAGGAAUUAAGCGUAAACCAAAGAGUGUCAGUGUAGCGAGACAGGAAUUUUUGAGACUUCAUGAAAAAAGAAAUGCAAAACUUUACCAACGGGUCGUUAAAAGAUUGCUCGCGCAAUAUCCUAAUAAUCGUAAAUGCACGCAGUGAUAUGUGAUAUUAAACAUCAAUAUUAUUAUUUUCAACAAGAGUAUCUAAUAGUAAGGUCUGACCACGAGGAGGUAACCGCUUCUGAAGACCCGGGAUGUGCAUUCUGAAGAUGUCCACAUUCGAAUUAAAUUGAAACCAAAGAAAAUGAUCUAACCGAGAAUGUUUUUUAAGAAACCUAACUCUUAGACCCCACCCUAAGAGUUUCACCAAAAAUCUUACAAUUAUUAUCCAUAAAAAAGAGAGAAGUGUGAUUACAAAAUGACCAGAAAUAAAAACAAGGAAUACAUCCGGGUAGAAUUUAAGUACCAACGAUGAUUUUUUCUGAAAAAUAACACAACAUAGCAUAAUUUCAAUAUAUGCAUUAACGGAGAUAACAAAUUACGUAUAUUUUAUGUUUAAUAAUUUUCCAAUCUACCAAAAUAAAGUAAAAUAAAAAUAAAUGUACAUAAUUUAUGGUGCAUAUCUGUAAAAAAGAAAAUGUAUUAAAAAAACCUAUAAUACAUGUAUAAUGCUUCGUGGAAAACAAUAAACGGAUUAAAAUACUUCAUUU